GACGAACGCUGGCGGCGUGCCUAAUACAUGCAAGUUGAGCGAUGAAGAUUGGUGCUUGCACCAAUUUGAAGAGCAGCGAACGGGUGAGUAACGCGUGGGGCAUCUGCCUUUGAGCGGGGGACAACAUUUGGAAACGAAUGCUAAUACCGCAUAACAACUUUAAACAUAAGUUUUAAGUUUGAAAGAUGCAAUUGCAUCACUCAAAGAUGAUCCCGCGUUGUAUUAGCUAGUUGGUGAGGUAAAGGCUCACCAAGGCGAUGAUACAUAGCCGACCUGAGAGGGUGAUCGGCCACAUUGGGACUGAGACACGGCCCAAACUCCUACGGGAGGCAGCAGUAGGGAAUCUUCGGCAAUGGACGAAAGUCUGACCGAGCAACGCCGCGUGAGUGAAGAAGGUUUUCGGAUCGUAAAGCUCUGUUGGUAGAGAAGAACGUUGGUGAGAGUGGAAAGCUCAUCAAGUGACGGUAACUACCCAGAAAGGGACGGCUAACUACGUG
rnacentral:rRNA from 1 species